rnacentral:tRNA from 1 species
CGUUGAUUUAGAUAAUGGAGUUCUUGUCAUUAUGAAUGGCAAAAAUAAUGUAUCCCGUCUGGUUCCGGUAUCAGAAUCACUAC